ACGUGAGUAACCUGCCCCUGACUCUGGAAUAACCGUGGGAAACGACGGCUAAUACCGGAUAUGAGACGUCCACGCAUGUGAGCGUCUGGAAAGAUUUAUCGGUCUGGGAUGGACUCGCGGCCUAUCAGCUUGUUGGUGGGGUAAUGGCCCACCAAGGCGACGACGGGUAGCCGGCCUGAGAGGGCGACCGGCCACACUGGGACUGAGAUACGGCCCAGACUCCUACGGGAGGCAGCAGUGGGGAAUAUUGCACAAUGGGCGCAAGCUGAUGCAGCGACGCCGCGUGGGGGAUGAAGGCCUYCSGGUUGUAAACUCCUUUCAGCAGGGAAGAAGCGAAAGUKACGGUACCUGCAGAAGAAGCGCCGGCUAACUACGUGCCAGCAGCCGCGGUAAUACGUAGGGCGCAAGCKUUGUCCGGAAUUAUUGGGCGUAAAGAGCUCGUAGGCGGUUUGUCGCGUCUGCUGUGAAAWCCCGAGKCUYWAYCUYKKGCUUKCACGUSSSUACSSSCMGACUAGAGUGCGGUAGGGGUGACUKGAAUUCCCUGGUGGUAGCGGUGGAAAUGCSCAGAUAUCAGGAGGAAACACCGAUGGCGGAAGGCAAGGUUCACUGGGSCCGCAACUGACGCUGAGGAGCGAAAASMWUGGGGAGCGAACAGGAUUAGAUACCCUGGUAGUCCAUGCCCGUAAACGUUKGGGCACUAGGUGUGGGGCUCAUUCCACGAGUUCCGUGCCGCAGCAAACGCAUUAAGUGCCCCGCCUGGGGAGUACGGCCGCAAGGCUAAAACUCAAAGGAAUUGACGGGGGCCCGCACAAGCGGCGGAGCAUGCGGAUUAAUUCGAUGCAACGCGAAGAACCUUACCAAGGCUUGACAUACACCGGAAAAAGUGCAGAGAUGUGCUCCCCGCAAGGUCGGUGUACAGGUGGUGCAUGGUUGUCGUCAGCUCGUGUCGUGAGAUGUUGGGUUAAGUCCCGCAACGAGCGCAACCCUCGUCCUAUGUUGCCAGCACGUUAUGGUGGGGACUCAUAGGAGACUGCCGGGGUCAACUCGGAGGAAGGUGGGGAUGACGUCAAAUCAUCAUGCCCCUUAUGUCUUGGGCUUCACGCAUGCUACAAUGGCCGGUACAAAGGGCUGCGAUACCGCAAGGUGGAGCGAAUCCCAAAAAGCCGGUCUCAGUUCGGAUUGGGGUCUGCAACUCGACCCCAUGAAGUCGGAGUCGCUAGUAAUCGCAGAUCAGCAACGCUGCGGUGAAUACGUUCCCGGGCCUUGUACACACCG
rnacentral:rRNA from 1 species